UGUAACGAAGUAAGGUGUUAAUCGUGAUAAGACAACAGUUUGUUGAUAGAACUAAGACAACAUGAAGCUUCUGAUUUUAACCGUCGUUCUUCUUUUUACAGCAGGGUGUUGGUGUGCUCCAACAGCGGAGGAUCCAUGUCUUCGUGCUUGUCAAUUCAUUUGGAUGCCAGUCUGUGGUGAUAAUGGUGUAACCUACAGUAACUUCUGUACCAUGAAAUCUCUGACCUGCAUGCAAAAUAUCCAGGUGGAAGUAGCACAUGAUGGAGUUUGUGAUACCAUUCCACAAUUGUAAAGGAAGAGUCAUCAUCGCUCAAGACAAAUUGUGUAAUAUAAUACUGGCAUUGUGAAAAA